CAGCCGCCACGGUAAUACGGAGGGUGCAAGCGUUAAUCGGAAUUACUGGGCGUAAGGCGUGCGUAGGCGGUUCGUUAAGUCUGUUGUGAAAGCCCCGGGCUCAACCUGGGAAUGGCAAUGGAUACUGGCGAGCUAGAGUGUGUCAGAGGAUGGUGGAAUUCCCGGUGUAGCGGUGAAAUGCGUAGAGAUCGGGAGGAACAUCAGUGGCGAAGGCGGCCAUCUGGGACAACACUGACGCUGAGGCACGAAAGCGUGGGGAGCAAACAGGAUUAGAUACCCGGGUAGUCCCUGUCUCUUAUAC
rnacentral:rRNA from 1 species